rnacentral:Y_RNA from 1 species
GGUUGGGCUGAGUGCAGUGGUGUUUACAACUAAUUGAUCACCACCGGUUACAGAUUCCUUUGUUCCUUCUCCACUCCCACUGCUUCACUUGACCAGCCUUUA